rnacentral:rRNA from 5 species
UGACCUCCUGGGAAGGCCUCGUGUUGCAACCC